ensembl:lncRNA
AUUGACUGCUGUAAUGAAGAAUCAGUUUAGCAGUGCUUUUAUAAAAUCUUGCCUUGUUCUUACGUGCUUCUAAAGUCUUACAUUAAUAACAGCUGAUAUAACUGCAUCCUUCUUGCAUCAGAGCACUUGAUAUGAAGCAACAAUUUGAAGUUGAGCCGUUGUGCACUAUUUAUGCAUGUAUGUUUUGUCAGGUGUUUGUCAGCGUGGAGAGCACUGGUUCAGCGCAGUGCAUUACUUCUGCGUUACUGUGAUCAGAGAAAGGCGCUGGCACUCAAGACGUGCUUACAGCACUGGAGCAGAUCUCGACAGCUGCACGCUCUUCACAAGCAUUUCCUCAUCCAGCGGUUUCAUUCAGGACAGACACACACAGUGUUGAAAUGGAAAACAGGUAUUUCAGCAGAAGGACUAUCUGGCAGGCUCCUGCUCCACAACACUCUUCAGAAGUGGACAGAGAUAUUAGAGAAACGCCGGUUGGCAAAAUUUCACAGAUCGGCUCAUGAUCGGGCUGUUCUUCUGGAGUGGGACAGACACACUCAGGCUGCUGUCUCUGAUGGAGUUCUGCUCAUCACAGACAGACUGGCUCAUCUUCAUCCACCCUCCUCUGCCUCGUCCUGCUCAGACCCCCUGAUGUCCACCGCUGCGCCACAGGUUGUGUUUUCAAGAGCCCUCGGCAGGACGAUGCACCCUGCUCUGAGUCUGUGGAGGAGUCUAGUGCACACUAUCAGAGAGAGGAGACUGCAGGCGGAUCUCUGUAGAAACAGCAGGAGACGUGAAGAGCUGACUGGGGUUUUCAGGGUGUGGAGAGUUCAAACACAGAAGCAGCGCCAGGCUGUUAGACACUGGGAGAGAAGGGUGCUCUUUCAGUCAGUCAUUCAGUGGAAACAAAUGUUUUGGCAGAGACACAAGAAACACAUGUUUGAGCAGCAAGCGGCAGUUACUCAUGACAGCAGUCUACUCAGACACUACUUCACCGCGUGGACCAGGCUGGCCAUUGGGGCACAUUGUGAGCAGCAGAAGUGUGCUGUUGAAUGGAUGAAGUGCAGAAGAGAGAGACACAGACUGAAUGUGAGCUUUUCCAUGUGGGUUACAUGUGUACACCAGCAGCAGACCGCCGGAGCCAUUUAUAAUCACACACGACAGAACAGCAUGUUUUGUGGUUGGCUGAGGAGUGUUCAGGUCUGUAAGCAGAGGCAGGCACUGGCUCUGUUCUUUACACACUGCAGACUCUUGCGUGUGUGUUUCUGUCAGUGGAGAAUCAUCUGCACUCAGCAGCAGCUCGCCAACAGCAAAACACAACACACACUCCACCUGAGAGCCAAAGCCGUCUUACAGCAGUGGAGGAAACAUACACACUUCAGGAUCAGUCAACGCGCUCUCCUGUGUGAGCAUGACGAGAGGAGGAAGACUGUCACGAAGAGAAGAACGUUUCUCAUGUGGAGUCAGGUAGUGGAGCAUUUCAGAAGAGCUCAGCACUGUCACAGAGGAGCCUUAAAGCACAGGUGUUUCUCUCAGUGGCUCCAUCAUUAAGAGCUGCUGUGUGUGAGCAGAGAGCUGGAGGAGCUCUGGACACAGAGACUGCAGCGGAGAGCUUUCAGCCUGUGGCAGCUCAGACUCAGCCGUGCUCGCUCUCACCUGCAUCACACACGCCGCUGGAGAGACACGCGGCAGCUCCGUCUUUAUCUGAGUGUGUGGAGAGAGAGACUCGAUGAGAGCAAGAGGGCCCGUCUGUGUCGGCUCAGACAGCAGACACACGUCAUGUGCAGGAUGAGAAACACGCUCCUGUGCUGGAGAACAGCGUUCAGCCAGAGGCUCCGGAGCAGAGAUCACUGCACACAGACACAGCAGAGGAGAGCUCUGCUGGCGUGGCACAGACAGACCGUAUCAGCGCAGAGACUGAGGUACAGAGAGGCCUGCUUCCAGUACAGCCGCGAGCUGAGACUGCAGGCUGCUGUAUUGAGGCAGUGGAGAAGAGCACUGAUCCAGGGUCAGCAGAGGCAGUGUGUUCUGGAGAGCCUGCUCAUCAUCUAUCAUAGCAGACUCAGUGAUCCAGCUUCUCAUCGCUGGAGAUCUGCGGCCACAGCAUUUAACAACAGAUUACUUCACAAGUGCUUCAGGUGUUGGACACAUAGCAGGGGUUUGUUGAAAGUAGCAGACAUGUUUUGUAUAAAGAAGAAAAGAAAUGAAGCCCGGUUUGUCCUGAGGAUGUGGUCACUGUGGGCUAAAGAAGGUAGAGCGCAGAGGCGGAUGGGGGAGGCUGUGAGUCUCUGGCUGGAGGGCAGAGGAGUAUCUAGAAGUUUCCAUCGUUGGGUCAAAGUGUAUCAGCAACACCAGAAAGCCUCCCACCACAUACAAACACAGCUUUCACACAGCAUCAGAGCAGUGGAGAGAAGAGGAGAGCGUGGACUGACCCGCCGGUACUGGACCUGCUGGACAAACCAAACUGAAGCAUCACUGCUGUGUACACAGCAAUACGAGCGCUGUGUGCUGCAGAGAGCCUGGCUCACCUGGAGAAAGAGACACAUCAGGAACAGAGUGUCUGCUGAUCACUCAGCCACCGUUAACAGCACGCUAUUGGCUCAGGUGUUGCAGGUGUGGUGGCAGCGAGCCCACAGGACAGACUUUGAGUCCUAA